rnacentral:rRNA from 1 species
AAGCGUUGUCCGGAUUUAUUGGGCGUAAAGAGCUCGUAGGCGGCUCGUUGCGUCGGCUGUGAAAACCCGCAGCUCAACUGUGGGCUUGCAGCCGAUACGGGCGGGCUGGAGUUCGGUAGGGGAGACUGGAAUUCCUGGUGUAGCGGUGAAAUGCGCAGAUAUCAGGAGGAACACCGGUGGCGAAGGCAGCUCGCUGGGACGUGACUGACGCUGAGACGCGAAAGCGUGGGGAGCAAACAGG